UACGGAGGGGGCGAGCGUUGUCCGAAGUUACUGGGCGUAAAGCGCGCGUAGGCGGGUGGCUAAGUCUGCUGUGAAAGCCCGAGGCUCAACCUCGGCGGGUCGGUGGAUACUGGUCAUCUUGAAGCAGUCAGGGGAAGAUGGAAUUACCGGUGUAGCGGUGAAAUGCGUAGAGAUCGGUAGGAACACCAGUGGCGAAGGCGUUCUUCUGGGGCUUGCUUGACGCUGAGGCGCGAAAGCUGGGGGAGCAAACGGG
rnacentral:rRNA from 1 species